ACCUGCGGAAGGAUCAUUACGUGAGCUGAGGGCCCUCUGGGUCCAACCUCCCACCCGUGUUUAUUUACCUUGUUGCUUCGGCGGGCCCGCCUUAACUGGCCGCCGGGGGGCUUACGCCCCCGGGCCCGCGCCCGCCGAAGACACCCUCGAACUCUGUCUGAAGAUUGUAGUCUGAGUGAAAAUAUAAAUUAUUUAAAACUUUCAACAACGGAUCUCUUGGUUCCGGCAUCGAUGAAGAACGCAGCGAAAUGCGAUACGUAAUGUGAAUUGCAAAUUCAGUGAAUCAUCGAGUCUUUGAACGCACAUUGCGCCCCCUGGUAUUCCGGGGGGCAUGCCUGUCCGAGCGUCAUUGCUGCCCUCAAGCACGGCUUGUGUGUUGGGCCCCGUCCUCCGAUUCCGGGGGACGGGCCCGAAAGGCAGCGGCGGCACCGCGUCCGGUCCUCGAGCGUAUGGGGCUUUGUCACCCGCUCUGUAGGCCCGGCCGGCGCUUGCCGAUCAACCCAAAUUUUUAUCCAGGUUGACCUCGGAUCA
rnacentral:rRNA from 1 species